rnacentral:rRNA from 1 species
UACGUAGGUGGCAAGCGUUGUCCGGAAUUAUUGGGCGUAAAGCGCGCGCAGGCGGUCCUUUAAGUCUGAUGUGAAAGCCCACGGCUCAACCGUGGAGGGUCAUUGGAAACUGGGGGACUUGAGUGCAGGAGAGAAGAGUGGAAUUCCACGUGUAGCGGUGAAAUGCGUAGAUAUCGGGAGGAACACCAGUGGCGAAGGCGACUACCUGGCCUGUUCUUGACGCUGAGGCGCGAAAGCUAGGGGAGCAAACAGG